UGUCAGCCAGGACUUACCAGGACUUGUGACAGAACAUAAUUGCCAGUGGGGAACUUGAGGCUCCUUCUUCACAGAGAAACAACAGGUGAGAAAAAAGCAGUAAACUACAUAACUCCUUCUACAGAAAACUCUUUUAAGUGUCUGGCCAAAAAUUCAGAGGUGGCAGUCAAUGCAUGCUUAGGGGACCAGUUCAGUCAAAGUUUGCUAAGUAGCACUGGGAACAAAUAGUAUUGCAAACUAUGAAAAGGGAAGCAGAACAAGCAAGGUAGAAACACAUUGUACAAUGUGCACCAGAAGUUUUUGUUGUAUUUUUUAAUGUUGCUCCAACUGUAAUAUCACUGCUUAGAUGGAGACAGUGAAAUUAAUUGAUUUACUUUCAGGAGCAUAGUUGCAAAGUUGUAUGUAAAACUAUACGAACAUAUGGACUUGCUAAUUUCUCCAUGCCUAGAUUUAAUUCUAGUCAAUAAUAAUAACAACAAUAGCUAUGUCAUUUAAUCCUCACAACAACCUUAUGAGGGUGGUCCCUGAGUGCUCCAAGGACCCCUGCAUCUGGCCACAGGGGAUGCUGGGAGUACCCUCCAUCCUGGCCUAAAAGGGCUCCCUUUCAGCUUCCUGGAUUUAUAUCUUGUCUUUCUGGGAACUGAUUGCCCAUAUUCCCCAUAUUCCCAAAGCCAUCGCCAGCUCCCAGCUUUAUCAUUCAGGAAAAAGAGCAAGCGCCUCCCCUUCAUCCUCCUUAUCUCCCACAAUCACUAAGUACAAGCCCAAGGAGAAGAAUCAAGGGCAGUGAACCUUCAUCAAA